rnacentral:lncRNA from 1 species
AGCCUGGAUAAAACCAAUGGAAAGGGCAUAUUGUCCAUGUAGUUUCUUGUGCCUGGAAAUGUUGCAGGCUAUUUUCCAUUCUUAUGUAAUGUGUGUUCUACAAAGCUCUAGCCAAGCCAGGAAGCAGAAAGCAGCAGCCAACACACAUCUAAUGUACUUGGAACCAAGGGGCCAAGGCUGUAUACCAGGUGGCUCUGGACUUGCUGGAUGGCUUCGCUCAAUCCAUUUCCCACAAAAUAAAGAGUGCAGGAAAACCUGGCCUAAACUUGUCCUCUAAGAAGAAAAAGUGGAGAAGUGAAUAUUCUCAGGUAUGGGUCCUCUAGAAGCACUGGAACUUUCAGGGGUGCCUCCUGCAAACUGAUGAUAAAAGUAGAAGAGAACUCCUAAUGUCCACCUGUACAACAGGCAUCAGGAUAAGCAGUGAAAAGAGGAAUGAGUAAAAUGUUUGCUUAAGAAAUAGUCAAACAAAGGCAGUACAAAGGCUAAAUAUUACUGUUCUAUACUGCCUCUCUCCCUUAGAGAAAGAUGUCUUGGUACCCACUGGCCAACCAUCUUUUGAACUACUUAUUGCCUAAAGGGGUCUAUCACAUCUCUGGAGGCCCCAGUAGAAAAUAAAACAUUGUGAAAUGGGCUGCAAUACCCAACUGCAAUUGUCAACCCCUCUUCUUUUAUUUCUCCAUUGCCAGUCAGUAUCCAGGUAGCAUCAGUAUUUCUAUUAAAGGCUUCUGCUGCCAGACAUCUGAACACCCACUUCUCUAUAAGCUCUCAGUAUCCUCACAUAUCCCGCUGUAAUACCUUGUCUUCCAGUCCUCCAGUCUCAUGCCAAUCACACAUCAUAGUCUAAUUCACUACUUAGUACACAAGAGCUUGGCUAAACCAAUGAUAAGUCUGGGAAUGCUCAUGCUUGCCAAUGUCAUCCAGAAGAAUGUCCAAAACAGUCUUUCACUUACAGUGUGAG